rnacentral:rRNA from 1 species
CGCCGUGGCGGCAAGCUUACCAUGCAAGUCGAGCGGAGAUGAGGUGCUUGCACCUUAUCUUAGCGGCGGACGGGUGAGUAAUGCUUAGGAAUCUGCCUAUUAGUGGGGGACAACAUUCCGAAAGGAAUGCUAAUACCGCAUACGUCCUACGGGAGAAAGCAGGGGAUCUUCGGACCUUGCGCUAAUAGAUGAGCCUAAGUCGGAUUAGCUAGUUGGUGGGGUAAAGGCCUACCAAGGCGACGAUCUGUAGCGGGUCUGAGAGGAUGAUCCGCCACACUGGGACUGAGACACGGCCCAGACUCCUACGGGAGGCAGCAGUGGGGAAUAUUGGACAAUGGGGGGAACCCUGAUCCAGCCAUGCCGCGUGUGUGAAGAAGGCCUUAUGGUUGUAAAGCACUUUAAGCGAGGAGGAGGCUACUGAGACUAAUACUCUUGGAUAGUGGACGUUACUCGCAGAAUAAGCACCGGCUAACUCUGUGCCAGCAGCCGCGGUAAUACAGAGGGUGCGAGCGUUAAUCGGAUUUACUGGGCGUAAAGCGUGCGUAGGCGGCUUUUUAAGUCGGAUGUGAAAUCCCCGAGCUUAACUUGGGAAUUGCAUUCGAUACUGGGAAGCUAGAGUAUGGGAGAGGAUGGUAGAAUUCCAGGUGUAGCGGUGAAAUGCGUAGAGAUCUGGAGGAAUACCGAUGGCGAAGGCAGCCAUCUGGCCUAAUACUGACGCUGAGGUACGAAAGCAUGGGGAGCAAACAGGAUUAGAUACCCUGGUAGUCCAUGCCGUAAACGAUGUCUACUAGCCGUUGGGGCCUUUGAGGCUUUAGUGGCGCAGCUAACGCGAUAAGUAGACCGCCUGGGGAGUACGGUCGCAAGACUAAACUCAAAUGAAUUGACGGGGGCUCGCACAAGCGUGAGCAUGUGAUUAAUUCGAUGCACGCGAAGAACCUUACUGGCCUGACAUACUAGAAACUUUCCAGAGAUGGAUUGUGCUUCGGAAUCUAGAUACAGUGCUGCAUGCUGUCGUCAGCUCGUGUCGUGAG